UACGUAGGGUGCGAGCGUUGUCCGGAAUUAUUGGGCGUAAAGAGCUUGUAGGCGGUUUGUCGCGUCUGCUGUGAAAAUCCGGGGCUCAACCCCGGACUUGCAGUGGGUACGGGCAGACUAGAGUGUGGUAGGGGAGACUGGAAUUCCUGGUGUAGCGGUGGAAUGCGCAGAUAUCAGGAGGAACACCGAUGGCGAAGGCAGGUCUCUGGGCCACUACUGACGCUGAGACGCGAAAGCGUGGGGAGCAAACAGG
rnacentral:rRNA from 1 species